GCCACCGUCGCAUAACCUGGUAUUGCGCUGGACUUGAAAUCCAGUUUCCUCACGGAUAUCUCGGUUCAAAUCCGGGCGGUGGCGCCA
rnacentral:tRNA from 1 species